rnacentral:rRNA from 1 species
UACGUAGGGUGCAAGCGUUAAUCGGAAUUAUUGGGCGUAAAGCGCGUGUAGGCGGCUUUGCAAGUCGGGUGUGAAAGCCCUCAGCUCAACUGAGGAAGUGCGCCCGAAACUGCAGAGCUUGAGUACCGGAGAGGGUGGCGGAAUUCCCCAAGUAGAGGUGAAAUUCGUAGAUAUGGGGAGGAACACCGGGUGGCGAAGGCGGCAUCCUGGCCAUGUCCUGACGCUCAGGGGCGAAAAGCGUGGGGAGCAAACCGG